AACGAACGCUGGCGGCAUGCCUAACACAUGCAAGUCGAACGAGACCUUCGGGCCUAUUGGCGCACGGGUGCGUACCGCGUGGGAACCUGCACUUAGGUACGGUAUAACUCCCCGUAAGGGGAGCUAAUAACGGUUAAUGUCUUCGCACCUAAGAUUUAUCGCCUUGGGAUGGGCGCGCGUUAGAUUCGGUAGUUGGUAGUGUAUAAGCCUGCCAUGGCGACGAUCCAGAGCUGGUCUGAGACGAUGAUCAGGCAGGCUGGGACUGAGACACGGCCCAGACUCGGAGGGGAGGCAGGAGUGGGGAGUAUUAGACAAGGGGCGCUGGUGUGACACAGCAAUGCCGCGUAAGUGAGGAAGGGGUUAGGGUUGUAAAGCUCUUUGUGCCGAGACGAGAGUGACAGUAACGGGUAAAUAAGCACCGGCUAACUACGUG
rnacentral:rRNA from 1 species